rnacentral:rRNA from 1 species
UACGUAGGGUCCGAGCGUUGUCCGGAAUUACUGGGCGUAAAGAGCUCGUAGGUGGUUUGUCGCGUUGUUCGUGAAAACUCACAGCUUAACUGUGGGCGUGCGGGCGAUACGGGCAGACUUGAGUACUGCAGGGGGAGACUGGAAUUCCUGGUGUAGCGGUGGAAUGCGUAGAUAUCAAAGCGGGAACACCGGUGGCGAAGGCGGCCUUCUGGACAGUGACUGACGCUGAGAAUGCGAAAGCGUGGGGAGCAAACAGG